ACGGGUUGAUAUUCCCGUACCCGUGUGCGUGCGACAAGUGAUGAAUCUUAUGGUACUAACCGCCCGCCUGCGUGUUGUUUCUUUUUGAGGAAUAGUGUGUGGGUGCGUGGGAUCUUCGUGGGUAGUAGUCAAGUGAUGGGGUGACGCAGAGUGGUAGCUAGGCUUCCUUAUUGGAUUGGAGUGCAAGCGUGUGGCCUGUGGGGUUGGUAAAUCCGCCCCACAUAUAAGGGUGAGGCGUGAUGCGGACACCAUUUGUGGUGGUAGUUAGUGUGCCUGUGCUGUCGAGAAAAGCCUCUAGCGAGUGCGUGCAUGGCCCGUACCGGAAACCGACACAGGUGGUCAGGUAGAGAAUACUAAGGCGUUCGGGUGAACUGUGGUUAAGGAACUCGGCAAAAUGCCCCCGUAACUUCGGGAGAAGGGGGACCACUACUAGUUGCUGACAGCAUUUUUAGCUGGUGGUGGUCGCAGAGGAGAGAGGGAAGCGACUGUUUAUUAAAAACACAGGUCCGUGCGAAAACGUGGAAGUUGAGGUAUACGGACUGACGCCUGCCCGGUGCUGGAAGGUUAAGAGGACCCGUGAGCACACUUUUUUGGUGUGCGAGGCGGAGAAUUGAAGCCCCAGUAAACGGCGGUGGUAACUAUAACCAUCCUAAGGUAGCGAAAUUCCUUGUCGGGUAAGUUCCGACCUGCACGAAUGGCGUAACGACUUCCCUGCUGUCUCAACCACAGGCCCGGUGAAAUUGCAGUACGAGUAAAGAUGCUCGUUUCGCGCGGCAGGACGAAAAGACCCCGGGACCUUUACUAUAGCUUGGUAUUGGUGUUUGGUCAUGCUUGUGUAGGAUAGGUGGGAGACUGUGAGACCAUGACGCUAGUUGUGGUGGAGUCGGCAAGUGAAAUACCACUCUGGUGUGAUUGGGUACCUGAACCUUGGCCCGUGAUCCGGGUUGGGGACAGUGCCUGGUGGGUAGUUUAACUGGGGCGGUUGCCUCCUAAAUGGUAACGGAGGCGCCCAAAGGUUCCCUCGGCUUGGUUGGUAAUCAGGUUUGUAGAGUGUAAGUGCAAUAAGGGAGCUUGACUGUGACACUGACGGGUGGAGCAGGUGCGAAAGCAGGGACUAGUGAUCCGGCAUCUACGUGUGGUUGUGGUGUCGCUCAACGGAUAAAAGGUACCCCGGGGAUAACAGGCUGAUCUUCCCCAAGAGUUCAUAUCGACGGGAUGGUUUGGCACCUCGAUGUCGGCUCGUCGCAUCCUGGGGCUGGAGUAGGUCCCAAGGGUUGGGCUGUUCGCCCAUUAAAGCGGCACGCGAGCUGGGUUUAGAACGUCGUGAGACAGUUCGGUCUCUAUCCGCCGCGCGCGUGGAAACUUGAACAAGGCUGUCCCUAGUACGAGAGGACCGGGAUGGACGUACCUCUAGUGUGCCAGUUGUCACGCCGGUGGCAUGGCUGGUUGGCUAUGUGCGGGAGGGAUAACCGCUGAAAGCAUCUAAGCGGGAAGCCUGUUGUGAGAUGAGGUUUCUGUUGAGGUUCCCUGUAGAUGAGGGGGUUGAUAGGUCGGAGUUGGAAGCAUCGUAAGGUGUUGUGAGAUGACCGAUACUAAUAUGACCGACACAAACAU
rnacentral:rRNA from 1 species